rnacentral:lncRNA from 1 species
CACAUGCAAAUGCACAGGUGUGUGUACACAGAUUUGCAGACAUGCUCCAGAAAGGAUGUGCAGUGGGCGUGGGGAGAAUUCAAGCCCUUGGUUGGCAGACUAGGAAGGAAGGAGAGCCUGGGGUGGAGACAAGACCAUUUAGACCCGAGUUCCGCUGGGGUCCUCCCUACCAGGUGCCGUUUCAAACAAACAUUGUUGGGGAAGGCAGGAAGCGAGCGCAGGCCCCCCGGUGGCAGUCGCACGGUGGAUAAUACCCAGAUGACGAAAUCAGAGGCCUGGCCUUCAGGCUCAGAAGCACACCAAGUCUGCUCCGUUGGAGGCUGCCAGAGGAUACCCCUGACACAACAGAGUGAUCAGUUGUGGAAGGGCUGUGUUAUUUCUAACCCUCACACUAAUUUUGCAAGAUAGGCCUGCCCUCAGGACACCGAAGCUGCGCUGGUGGCCACCCGUCCCCCGACGACUUUUCUGCAAGUCUAGAGGGAAAUCGGCACCUCCCAGGAGGUUGGCACCGGCAGGUGUUGACUUGCUGAAGCUUUGCACAACAGCUACUGUCUGUAAGCGUGUGCUCGGCUGCCUGGAUGGCAGAAUAACCCUAGAACCCUACCCCGUGGUGGAAAGAGCAGCUGCUUUGUAAGGCACUGACUCGCACAGACCAACCGAUCGUGAGGCGGACAAGGGAGAUCACAGUGCUGUCUGCUCUGGGCUGGGCCUGGAGCGAUCUUCCAUCCCCGGGCCAAAAGGCCAUGGUCCCUAUUCUCUUAGCAGCACUGCCAAGAGAUGGCUGAGGGGAAUGGUUGAGGAGGCCUGUUCUGGAGCGCCACCACUUACCAGCUGUGUUACUUGAACUAAUGAACCUCCUAGAACC